GGGUUGCGGACAGUGUCUGGUGGGUAGUUUGACUGGGGCGGUCUCCUCCUAAAGAGUAACGGAGGAGCACGAAGGUUGGCUAAUCCUGGUCGGACAUCAGGAGGUUAGUGCAAUGGCAUAAGCCAGCUUGACUGCGAGCGUGACGGCGCGAGCAGGUGCGAAAGCAGGUCAUAGUGAUCCGGUGGUUCUGAAUGGAAGGGCCAUCGCUCAACGGAUAAAAGGUACUCCGGGGAUAACAGGCUGAUACCGCCCAAGAGUUCAUAUCGACGGCGGUGUUUGGCACCUCGAUGUCGGCUCAUCACAUCCUGGGGCUGAAGUAGGUCCCAAGGGUAUGGCUGUUCGCCAUUUAAAGUGGUACGCGAGCUGGGUUUAGAACGUCGUGAGACAGUUCGGUCCCUAUCUGCCGUGGGCGCUGGAGAACUGAGGGGGGCUGCUCCUAGUACGAGAGGACCGGAGUGGACGCAUCACUGGUGUUCGGGUUGUCAUGCCAAUGGCACUGCCCGGUAGCUAAAUGCGGAAGAGAUAAGUGCUGAAAGCAUCUAAGCACGAAACUUGCCCCGAGAUGAGUUCUCCCUGAC
rnacentral:rRNA from 1 species